GACGGCGGCAGCUACCGGGCUCCGGAAUCGGCGGCGGCGGUGGCGGCGGCAGCUGCACUUCCGCUCCGGCCACCACUUCCGCUCUAGCCCAAGUCCCGCCCCACCCUGAGUCGACUCCUCAUUGGACCAAGGAAGCUUCAUGAAGUGUCAAGAACAGAACAUCCCCAAGGUCUUUAAAAACAAAACAAAAAAACAACAACAAAACCCAA